AGCUCUGGAUAUCCCAAUGGUUACAACAAAAACUCGACUUGUUCCUGGAGAAUUGAAGGGGAGGCUGGAACUAGGAUAUUUUUAAACAUCACAGACUUUGAUGUUUCGCCGUGUGAGUCCGCCUUUCUUGUCGCAUACGAUGGCCAAAACACACGAGAGAAUCUAAAUCUCCCAAUAUGUGGUCAAGUACCUGUAUUUUCUGCCACCUCAUCAAGCAACUUCGUCUUAAUCGCCUUUAUAACAUCAGGGCUUAUUAACCCUGUGUCUUACAGAGGAUUUAAGCUAAACUAUGUUAUUAAAGAUAUAUCGUAUGACAGACCCUGUUCCCUAGUGGACCAGUGCCGAAGUUAUUUGACUUGUGUUAGUGGCCACUGUAGUUGUCCAAAUGACACAUAUCACAACAGUUCUACACUUAGCUGUCACAAAAAACUUUCUUUCAAGGAGAAAUGUGUGGAAACACUACAAUGUAGGAAUAACUUGCAGUGUUUGUAUGGCACGUGCUCCUGUG